rnacentral:pre_miRNA from 1 species
AAUAAGUGCAGUUUUGCACUAUUUACGUUCAACGUUUGACCGUCCGUCUUAUUUGAAAAAUUUGUGAAAAAAUUAAAAACAUUUAGUCACACAUAAAGUACUAUUCAUGUUUUAUCAUCUAAUAGCAAUAAAAAUACUAAUCAUAAAAAAUUUUCAAAUAAGACGGACGGUCAAACGUUGAACGUAAAUAGUGCAAAACUGCACUUAUU